UCCCUGGUGGCUCAGACGGUAAAGCAUCUGCCUGCAAUGCGGGAGACCUGGGUUCAAUCCCUGGGUCGGGAA
rnacentral:tRNA from 1 species